rnacentral:rRNA from 1 species
CCUACGGGAGGCUGCAGUGAGGAAUAUUGGUCAAUGGGCGAGAGCCUGAACCAGCCAAGUCGCGUGAGGGAGUACUGCCCUAUGGGUUGUAAACCUCUUUUGUCGGGGAGCAAAAGCCGGACGUGUCCGGCUGUGAGAGUACCCGAAGAAAAAGCAUCGGCUAACUCCGUGCCAGCAGCCGCGGUAAUACGGAGGAUGCGAGCGUUAUCCGGAUUUAUUGGGUUUAAAGGGUGCGCAGGCGGAUUUUUAAGUCAGCGGUAAAAUCGUGGGGCUCAACCCCAUCCAGCCGUUGAAACUGGGGAUCUAGAGUGUGCGAGAGGUAUGCGGAAUGCGUGGUGUUGCGGUGAAAUGCAUAGAUAUCACGCAGAACCCCGAUUGCGAAGGCAGCAUACCGGUGCACAACUGACGCUCAGGCACGAAAGCGUGGGUAUCGAACAGGAUUAGAUACCCUGGUAGUC